rnacentral:lncRNA from 1 species
AAUAAUGAAGAGAUUUUCAAUGAGUCCCCUGGCCAAGCCGCCCCUAUUGUAUAUUGCAUUGAUAAAAAGGAUGUUAUUGACUAUGCAACAGUGGGCUCCUUUCCUCCCUCUCCCUUUUUCCAAAUAAACUCUCGCUCCUUGCUCCUGGUCAGUGAAAAGGUGAAACGAAUAAGAUUAAAUCAGACAAAAAAAGCAAGCUCUGUAUGUAUAUCAUCUAGAUUUUACUCCCCAGACUGUGAAGAGACAGGGAGUAAAAGAGGCAGAGCAAGGCACAGAGAGAGGGAGAGAGAGAGCGAGAGUGAAAGAGAGCCAGAGAGAAGGUGGACGGACCCAGCAGCUUGUGCCCUACUCUUCCUUGAAAAGGUUUCCUCGGAACCUGGAUCGCUUCAGCUGGCACCCAGAACCCCGGCCAAACCAGGCUUCACCAGAUCCAACUCAGCCCUGGGCAGGAGACUUGACUUAAGAAACCUACUUCAAACUCCUUGGAGUGCCUCCCUGCUAAAUACCUGCUGAAGUCUGCUGUUUAAAAUGAAGGGCUAAAGAGCCCUUCUUCCCUCUUCUCAAAUGAUACAUUUUACUGGGAGUUCUGGUGAAUAGAAGGCAAGAAAGAGCUCAGUCCAAUAAAGAUUAAACUAAGUAGAAGAAACCCA